AUUGAACGCUGGCGGCAUGCUUUACACAUGCAAGUCGAACGGUAACAGGCCGCAAGGUGCUGACGAGUGGCGAACGGGUGAGUAAUGCAUCGGAACGUGCCCAGUCGUGGGGGAUAACGCAGCGAAAGCUGUGCUAAUACCGCAUACGAUCUAUGGAUGAAAGCGGGGGACCGUAAGGCCUCGCGCGAUUGGAGCGGCCGAUGUCAGAUUAGGUAGGUGGUGGGGUAAAGGCCUACCAAGCCAACGAUCUGUAGCUGGUCUGAGAGGACGACCAGCCACACUGGGACUGAGACACGGCCCAGACUCCUACGGGAGGCAGCAGUGGGGAAUUUUGGACAAUGGGCGCAAGCCUGAUCCAGCAAUGCCGCGUGCAGGAAGAAGGCCUUCGGGUUGUAAACUGCUUUUGUACGGAACGAAACGGUCUGGGUUAAUACCCUGGACUAAUGACGGUACCGUAAGAAUAAGCACCGGCUAACUACGUGCCAGCCGCCGCGGUAAGAC
rnacentral:rRNA from 1 species